GGGUGCGAUCAUACCAGCAAUAAUGCACCGGAUCCCAUCAGAACUCCGAAGUUAAGCUUGCUUGGGCGAGGCAGUACUAGGAUGGUGACCUCCUGGGAAGUCUCGUGUUGGCACCCCU
rnacentral:rRNA from 1 species